rnacentral:rRNA from 1 species
GACCAAUGUAGGUAAAGGAAGUCGGCAAAACGGAUCCGUAACCUUGGGAUUGGCUCUGAGGGCUGAGCCGGUCGGGCUGGGGUCCAGAAGCAGGAUACGGCACUGCACCAGGACUGGGUGAGGCUCGCCGCCGUAAAAAGUGCGGCCGAGCCCGGACCAGCGUCGGGACCUUCCUGUGGAAAACCGCAGCUGUGCAUUUUCCGUGGGCUUCGCGCCUGAGGUUCUUGCUUCGGCCGGCAGAAAACAGCCAACUCGGAACUGGCACGGACCGGGCCCUAGCAAAAAUC